GAGCUGCGAGGCCGGCACAAGGGAGGCGGCCCUGGGGACCUGACAGGGCGAGGGCGGGGGCGGGGACGCCGCCGCCUGCGCGGUUCCGGGUGCUCCCGGCGCGGCGCUGCCCAGGGCACACUUGACCGAGGUCGGGCUGCGGGGAAGGGCGGGUCUGGGGAGAACCCCGAGAGACGCGGCGUCCUCCAACUCCUCCUCCUUCUCCUCGCGGCCGCCGAAGCCACAGCCCGAGCCCGAGCCCGAGCCCGAGCCCGAGCCGGCGCCACCGCGCCCCCGGCCAUGGCUUUUGCCAAUUUCCGCCGCAUCCUGCGUCUGUCUACCUUCGAGAAGAGAAAGUCCCGCGAAUAUGAGCACGUCCGCCGCGACCUGGACCCCAACGAGGUGUGGGAGAUCGUGGGCGAGCUGGGCGACGGCGCCUUCGGCAAGGUUUACAAGGCCAAGAAUAAGGAGACGGGUGCUUUGGCUGCGGCCAAAGUCAUUGAAACCAAGAGUGAGGAGGAGCUGGAGGACUACAUCGUGGAGAUUGAGAUCCUGGCCACCUGCGACCACCCCUACAUUGUGAAGCUCCUGGGAGCCUACUAUCACGACGGGAAGCUGUGGAUCAUGAUUGAGUUCUGUCCAGGAGGAGCCGUGGACGCCAUCAUGCUGGAGCUGGACAGAGGCCUCACGGAGCCCCAGAUACAGGUGGUUUGCCGCCAGAUGCUAGAAGCCCUCAACUUCCUGCACAGCAAGAGGAUCAUCCACCGAGAUCUGAAAGCUGGCAACGUGCUGAUGACCCUCGAGGGAGACAUCAGGCUGGCUGACUUUGGUGUGUCUGCCAAGAAUCUGAAGACUCUACAGAAACGAGAUUCCUUCAUCGGCACGCCUUACUGGAUGGCCCCCGAGGUGGUCAUGUGUGAGACCAUGAAGGACACGCCCUACGACUACAAAGCCGACAUCUGGUCCCUGGGCAUCACGCUGAUUGAGAUGGCCCAGAUCGAGCCGCCACACCACGAGCUCAACCCCAUGCGGGUUCUGCUAAAGAUCGCCAAGUCGGACCCUCCCACGCUGCUCACGCCCUCUAAGUGGUCUGUAGAGUUCCGUGACUUCCUGAAGAUAGCCCUGGAUAAGAACCCAGAAACCCGACCCAGUGCCGCGCAGCUGCUGGAGCAUCCCUUCGUCAGCGGCAUCACCAGUAACAAGGCUCUGCGGGAGCUGGUGGCUGAGGCCAAGGCCGAGGUGAUGGAAGAGAUCGAAGACGGCCGGGAAGAGGGGGAAGAGGAGGACGCCGCGGAUGCCGCCUCCACCCUGGAGAACCAUACUCAGAACUCCUCUGAGGUGAGUCCGCCAAGCCUCAAUGCUGACAAGCCUCUCGAGGAGUCACCUUCCACCCCGCUGGCACCCAGCCAGUCUCAGGACAGUGUGAAUGAGCCCUGCAGCCAGCCCUCUGGGGACGGAUCCCUCCAAACCACCAGUCCCCCAGUCGUGGCCCCUGGAAAUGAGAACGGCCUGGCAGUGCCUGUGCCCCUGCGGAAGUCCCGACCCGUGUCAAUGGAUGCCAGAAUUCAGGUAGCCCAGGAGAAGCAAGUUGCUGAGCAGGGUGGGGACCUCAGCCCAGCAGCCAACAGAUCUCAAAAGGCCAGCCAGAGCCGGCCCAACAGCAGCGCCCUGGAGACCUUGGGUGGGGAGAAGCUGGCCAAUGGCAGCCUGGAGCCACCUGCCCAGGCAGCUCCAGGGCCUUCCAAGAGGGACUCGGACUGCAGCAGCCUCUGCACCUCUGAGAGCAUGGACUAUGGUACCAAUCUCUCCGCUGACCUGUCGCUGAACAAAGAGAUGGGCUCUCUGUCCAUCAAGGACCCGAAACUGUACAAAAAAACCCUCAAGCGGACACGCAAAUUUGUGGUGGAUGGUGUGGAGGUGAGCAUCACCACCUCCAAGAUCAUCAGCGAAGAUGAGAAGAAGGAUGAGGAGAUGAGAUUUCUCAGGCGCCAGGAACUCCGAGAGCUUCGGCUGCUCCAGAAAGAAGAGCAUCGGAACCAGACCCAGCUGAGUAACAAGCAUGAGCUGCAGCUGGAGCAAAUGCAUAAACGUUUUGAACAGGAAAUCAACGCCAAGAAGAAGUUCUUUGACACGGAAUUAGAGAACCUGGAGCGUCAGCAAAAGCAGCAAGUGGAGAAGAUGGAGCAAGACCAUGCUGUGCGCCGCCGGGAGGAGGCCAGGCGGAUCCGCCUGGAGCAGGAUCGGGACUAUACCAGGUUCCAAGAGCAGCUCAAACUGAUGAAGAAAGAGGUGAAGAACGAGGUGGAGAAGCUCCCCCGACAGCAGCGGAAGGAAAGCAUGAAGCAGAAGAUGGAGGAGCACACGCAGAAAAAGCAGCUUCUUGACCGGGACUUUGUAGCCAAGCAGAAGGAGGACCUGGAGCUGGCCAUGAAGAGGCUCACCACCGACAACAGGCGGGAGAUCUGUGACAAGGAGCGGGAGUGCCUCAUGAAGAAGCAGGAGCUCCUUCGAGGUGGGGGUGUGCGAGUGGCAGCGCUGUCUUGGCCCAGAGUCGCUGUGGACAUCCCAGCCCUGGGAAGUGGGGUGGGCAACAAGAACCUCCCAGGCCUUCUCCAUCCCCAAAACUAAACAUCAUUCUUCAUGGGGAAACCUGGGGAAAAGCCCCACUUGAAGUAAGGAACGAGACCGGGAAGCAGCCCUGUGGGAGAUGGAAGAGCACCAGCUGCAGGAGAGGCACCAGCUGGUGAAGCAGCAGCUCAAAGACCAGUACUUCCUCCAGCGGCACGAGCUGCUGCGCAAGCAUGAGAAGGAGCGGGAGCAGAUGCAGCGCUACAACCAGCGCAUGACAGAGCAGCUGAAGGUGCGGCAGCAACAGGAAAAGGCGCGGCUGCCCAAGAUCCAGAGGAGUGAGGGCAAGACGCGCAUGGCCAUGUACAAGAAGAGCCUCCACAUCAACGGCGGGGGCAGCGCAGCCGAGCAGCGCGAGAAGAUCAAGCAGUUCUCCCAGCAGGAGGAGAAGAGGCAGAAGUCGGAGCGGCUGCAGCAACAGCAGAAACACGAGAACCAGAUGCGGGACAUGCUGGCGCAGUGCGAGAGCAACAUGAGCGAGCUGCAGCAGCUGCAGAAUGAAAAGUGCCACCUCCUGGUAGAGCACGAAACCCAGAAGCUGAAGGCCCUGGAUGAGAGCCAUAACCAGAACCUGAAGGAAUGGCGGGACAAGCUUCGGCCGCGCAAGAAGGCUCUGGAAGAGGAUCUGAACCAGAAGAAGCGGGAGCAGGAGAUGUUCUUCAAGCUGAGUGAGGAGGCGGAGUGCCCAAACCCCUCCACCCCAAGCAAGGCCGCCAAGUUCUUCCCCUACAGUUCUGCGGAUGCUUCUUAACAACCGCCCGGGGCUGUGGCUGGCAGCUUGGUGGGCCCCAGGGCCUUCUCCUUCAUUCUCUGUGAACAUGUAACUCAGGACCCCUUUUCCCUCUUGCGUCUGUGCCAGCUCAACUCCAGCCCCUCGCCCUGUGCCACCCCAACUGUGCCCGAUAGACCUGCCCCAGCGUUCCUGACUUCUCGCUGGCCUGUGGAGGGUGAGGUGUAAUUAUUUGUCACCUGACCCUAAUGUAUAUUCUCCUUGAGCCCCAGAUCCCUUCAAGCUGGAAGGGAUGGGGCUGUUGGUGGGGUCAGGGUCCAAGAGGAAUGGGUGUUCUGUGGCCUCGAGUCCUCUCCUGUUUGCGAAAAUACCAGUUUUGCUCUCUGUGGGACAAAGCACUGCUGAUGAAGUCCCCGUGGGCUCAUCCGGGCUGGAAUUCUUGGUUUUUCAGCCAUUCCCUGCAGAGUCACUCAAUCAUCAAGUCCCUCACAGCCAUUUCUGUUCCCAGAGGAGCCAGGCCUGCAGCUGGCUGCUCAGGAGAUGGCCUCAUUCCUCCUGUUCUCCCAGUUUGCUUUCCACUUAAGACAAAGCCUUGUCUAUGUGGGGGGCGGGGACCGGGGAAAGAGGGAGGCUGAAAUGUGUAUUCUGCUUCCCCCGUGUUUCAUGCCAUCUCGUGUCCCCCUUCCUGCACGUGGGUGUGAAUGCACACACAUACGCGUACACACAGGACUUGGUCUGCUGGCCUGGCCUCUUCUGCCCAGGUGAGUUGGAACACGUUUGCUGCCUGAGCCUGUGCCACUGAGCAUGUUAGGUGGAGCAGUUCGUGUGGCACGUGCGGGGUGUUGGCACCGGAGGCAUGGAGAAGCACAGGCUGUACUGCCAGGCUGCGAUGCGUGCUGGCCCCCGCACAGGCUCCUGUGUGCAGGGACUGAUUCCUCAGCACACGAGGCUUCCACAACCCAGUCUGCUCCAUAGCACUCUGGCCCACCCUGUCUGCAGGUGAAACAGGAGGGCUGUUUCCCUCUGCCCCGUCCCCCCGACUGUGUUCAGGAGUCCCACCUUGCAUUUCAGACCUGGGCUGGCAGUCUGUUGGACUUCUCUUCAGGAAGAAAAAGCAUCAGGGGGAAAUGGAAUGCCCCUGCCCCAGGAACAUGGCGGAAGCACAGGUUCUGUACCUCAGAUGGACUCCUGCUGGGCCUUAGGGGUCUCAGUUGGCUUCCCCCAGAUUCUGAUUCUACGGCUGCAGAAUGUAUAUAACGCAAUAAAAGCAAAUGUUUGAACCAGUA